UACGUAGGGGGCAAGCGUUGUCCGGAUUCAUUGGGCGUAAAGAGCGUGUAGGCGGCCAGGUAGGUCGGUUGUGAAAACUGGAGGCUCAACCUUCAGAGGUCGACCGAAACCAUCUGGCUAGAGUCCGGGAGAGGAGAGUGGGAAUUCCUGGUGUAGCGGUGAAAUGCGCAGAUAUCAGGAAGAACACCAAUGGCGAAGGCAGCUCUCUGGGACGGUACUGACGCUGAGACGCGAAAGCGUGGGGAGCGAACAGG
rnacentral:rRNA from 1 species